rnacentral:rRNA from 1 species
AUACGGAGGAUCCGAGCGUUAUCCGGAUUUAUUGGGUUUAAAGGGUGCGCAGGCGGCCAUUUAAGUCAGCGGUUAAAUCGUGGGGCUCAACCCCAUUCUGCCGUUGAUACUGGGUGGCUUGAUUGCGGUCGAGGUUGGCGGAAUUCGUUGUGUAGCGGGGAAAUGCAUAGAUAUGACGAAGAACACCGAUUGCGUAGGCAGCUGACCAGAUCGCAAAUGACGCUCAUGCACGAAAGUGCGGGGAUCGAACAGGAUUAGAUACCCUGGUAGUCCGCACAGUAAACGAUGAAUACUUGUUUUCGGCGAUAUAAUGUCGGAGGCAAAGCGAAAGCGAUAAGUAUUCCACCUGGGGAGUACGCCGGCAACGGUGAAACUCAAAUGAAUUGACGGG